rnacentral:rRNA from 1 species
CAAGUCGAACGAUGAAGUUCCUUCGGGAUGGAUUACUGGCGAACGGGUGAGAACACGUGAGAAACCUGCCUUUCAUUCUGGGAUAACCCCGGGAAACCGGUGCUAAUACCGGAUACUCCAUCUUGGCGGCAUCGCCGAGCUGGGAAAAAAUUUUGAUGAAAUAUGGUCUCGCGGCCUAUCUUCUAGUUGGUGAGGUAAAGGCUCACCAAGGCGACAACAGGUAGCCGGCCUGAAAGGGCGACCGGCCCCACUGGGACUGAGACGCGGCCCAGACUCCUACUGGAGGCAGCAGUAGGGAAUAUUGGGCAAUGGGCGAAAGCCUGACCCAGCGACUCCGCGUGAGGGAUGAAGGUCUUCGGAUUGUAAACCUCUUUCACUAGGGAAGAAGCGAAAGUGACGGUCCUAAAGAAGAGGCACCGGCUAACUAUGUGCCUACAGCCGCGGUAAAUCAUAGGGUGCAAGCGUUGUCCGGAAUUAUUGGGCGUAAAGAGCUCGAAUGUCGUUUGUCGCGUCAAUUGUGAAAAUCUGAAGCUCAACCUCAGACCUGCAGUCAAUACGGGCAAACUACAGUGUGGUAGGGGAGACUGGAAUUCCUGGUGUAGCGGUGGAAUGCGCAAAUAUCAUGAGGAACACCAAUGGCAAACGCAGGUCUCUGGGCCAUAACUGACACUGAGGAGCGAAAGUGCGGGGAGCCAACACGAUUACAUACCCUGGUAGUCCGCACCGUACACAGCGGGCACUAGUUGUGGGAACCUUCCACGGCUUCCGCGACGCAGAAACGCAUUAAGUGCCCCGCCUGAGGAGUACUAUCGCAGAUUAAACUCAAGGAAUUGACUG